UACGUAGGGUGCGAGCGUUAAUCGGAAUUCUGGGCGUAAAGCGUGCGCAGGCGGUUUUCCAAGACAGAUGUGAAAUCCCCGGGCUCAACCUGGGAAUGGCAUUUGUGACUGGAAGGCUAGAGUGUGUCAGAGGGGGGUAGAAUUCCACGUGUAGCAGUGAAAUGCGUAGAGAUGUGGAGGAAUACCGAUGGCGAAGGCAGCCCCCUGGGAUAACACUGACGCUCAUGCACGAAAGCGUGGGGAGCAAACAG
rnacentral:rRNA from 1 species